UAAAACAAUCUAACGAGCUAUGGGUCCAGCCAAAUGCUGAACCAUCUAUUCCUUCAUCUUUUUAAUUAGUGAGUCGGGCAAAUCUUUUACUUCGAUUCAAAAAUAGUCAGGUUCACAAAAUUUGCAUGCAGCAGCAGCAGCAUGUAGUGCAUGCAUUAAUCGUAUCAAAUCCUGUCAAGUAAUAUUAGUAGUUUCAUUCAGAAAAAUGGACUGCAGAAAGCAGUAGAUUCUUUGGUACAAGAUAAGUG
rnacentral:lncRNA from 1 species